CACACCCUCUCCAGCUGGCAGGUCAGUGGGAACAGAAGCGGAGCUUCUGAGGGUCAGAGGAGAAAGUGGCAGCUACUUGGUAGCCAGAACUAAGAGAAACUGACAUGAAGUGUCCCUGUGAUUCCCAGCCCUAGAUACAAGCCAGCAGGGACAAGCUGGG